AAGCUCCAUCCCUGCUCCCCUGUGCUCAGCUGUGGCAGGGGGGCUUGAGGCAGGACGUACAGUUAUCCCCCUCUCAGUUUAGGAGGGCUGUCCUAAGCACAGGCUGACUCUUAAAGGCCUAAAAGGACAUU
rnacentral:snoRNA from 1 species